GGAAGAGUGCCUGAAUUAAAGGGUCACUUUGAUAGAGUGAAACAUGAAUGUUAGAAUCAUUCCCCUUCCU
rnacentral:tRNA from 1 species